GGAUUGAAAUGGGCGCAGCCUGAUCCAGCCAUGCCGCGUGCGGGAAGAAGGCCUUCGGGUUGUAAACCGCUUUUAGCCGGGAAGAAAAGGCCACGGAUAACACCCGUGGUUUUUGACGGUACCGGCGGAAUAAGCACCGGCUAACUACGUGCCAGCAGCCGCGGUAAUACGUAGGGUGCGAGCGUUAAUCGGAAUUACUGGGCGUAAAGCGUGCGCAGGCGGUGAGCUGUGUCCGAUGUGAAAGCCCCGGGCUUAACCUGGGAAUGGCAUUGGAAACUGGCUCGCUGGAGUGUGGCAGAGGGGGGUGGAAUUCCGCGUGUAGCAGUGAAAUGCGUAGAGAUGCGGAGGAACACCGAUGGCGAAGGCAGCCCCCUGGGCUAACACUGACGCUCAGGCACGAAAGCGUGGGGAGCAAACAGGAUUAGAUACCCUGGUAGUCCACGCCCUAAACCAUGUCAACUGGGUGUUCGGGAAGCGAUUCCUGAGUACCGUAGCUAACGCGUGAAGUUGACCGCCUGGGGAGUACGGCCGCAAGGUUAAAACUCAAAAAAAUUGACGGA
rnacentral:rRNA from 1 species